UACGGGGGGGGCAAGCGUUGUUCGGAAUUACUGGGCGUAAAGGGCUCGUAGGUGGCCUUCUAAGUCGAACGUGAAAUCCCCGGGCUCAACCCGGGAACUGCGUCCGAUACUGGAUGGCUUGAAUUCGGGAGAGGGAUGCAGAAUUCCAGGUGUAGCAGUGAAAUGCGUAGAUAUCUGGAGGAAUACCGGUGGCGAAGGCGGCAUCCUGGACCGACAUUGACGCUGAACGGCGAAAGCUAGGGGAGCAAACGGG
rnacentral:rRNA from 1 species